UCUCCCAGCGCGGAUAGCCAGUACAUUUGCCUCAGUUUUUUGCUUUCUCAAUGGUAAUGUGUUAGUUUUAUUACUGAUUAGUUCGGUGGAAGAGGAUCAUGCCUCGUUCGUUGGUAGUACGCAUUACGCAAUCGAUCUCCACGAAUAUACGAAUCUAAUGCAAUUUUCAUAAGAGGAUUAUAUGAUUAUUGUUAAAAGUUCAAAAAAUGUAACGGUAUUGGUAUUGCAAAUUAGAGUUCUGAUUGUCCUUUUAAAAUCAUUGAGAAGAAUUUAAAAUCACUGCAAUUUUUUAAAAAUUUUUAAAAUGCUUAGUUUUGUUGUUGACUACUAUCGAAGUCUUUUGACAUCAUCAGACUGAGCAAAGCUGCAGAGAGAUCUCUCACUGUCUUCCUCCUUUUUUUGAUCUGCAAUUCCUAAUUAAUUAUUGCAGUGAGAGAACCAUUUCUUCUGUUCUUCAACAGGAGCAAUUGUUUCCACUUUCUGGGAUCUCCUUACCCUCCAAUGUGAUAGAGAAAACCCAUGCUUAUCUCUGCCUACACCUGUAUAUAGAUCUGCCAAUGGGCUUUUGCUUUUGUAUUAUACAAUUUUUGGAUUUCUAGACAGGUUUGAAGAAUGAGUAAUGGUGGGGAAUCAUCCCAUAAUCGAACCCCCAGGGACUUAAUGUGCCACGCUGGUGCUGGUUCUGCUGCAGUUUAGCCUAAACAAGUGCUAUUGCAGCUACUUUCGUUGGCUCAUUGUAUGUGAUCAAGACCCGGUUACAGCUAUAUGGCUUGCAUGCUACUCCCAAUUCAGGUCGUGCAGGUAGCAUCAUUGUUACGAGUCUCCAGAAAAUGAUUAGGACUGAAGGUUUUAAGGGAUUAUAUCGUGGUCUUUCUCCAACAAUAAUAGCGCUACUUCCAAACUGGACUGUUUAUUUCACAGUUUAUGAGCAACGCAAAGGUCUACUCCUGUCGCAUGGGGAUGGGAAUAACCAACUCACGGUUGGUGCAAACAUGGUAGCUGCCGCAGGUGCUGGGGCUGCCACAUCCACUGCUACAAAUCCAUUGUGGGCUGUUUAAACAAGACUCCAAGAAAAAUGAUAUUUUUGAGGGACUAAAAAAGAAAUUUUGCCAAUGAGGAGUGAUUUCUACAGCUAAAGAUAUCAAAAACAAGUUUGAAAGUUGAAGUAUGCAGUGGCCAAAUUGCGCAUAACUUGCUGCAUAAGUUGUGUAGUUCUGCACAGGGAGAAAACAUAAAUUUUCCAUUCCUGCCGAAAUCUGCAUAAGUCACUGUAUGACUUAUGCAGACUUACUCCUUACUUAUGCAGCUUCACACAAAGGGCCCAAAACCUGCCGAAAACUGCAUAAAGGCCUGCAUAACUUAUAUAGUCCACUUAUGCAGUUUCAUAGAGUCUUCAUAAUUAGCUGGCAGAAGAUUCCCUCAUGAAAACUACACCUUAAACACACCAUUUUAGGGCUACUUAUCAGAAAAAGAUAUAAAUAGGCCCUUAUCUCAUUUUAGAAAGGGAGCGGAAACAAAAAAAAGGAGCAGCAGCAGGGGAAGAGUCAGAAAACAGAGCAAAACGUCACCUCUCCAUUUCUAGACUAGAUUUGGAGUUUUCUUCCCUUCUUCCCUAUUUUCUUACCUUUCUUGUAUUGGGUUUCUUAGUUCUUAGCUUAGAUUUAAGAUUUAUUUCCAUAUUUACUUAGAAUUUAUUGUAAAUAUCAUGGAUAAUGAGUAGUUUUCAUUAGAUUCUGAAUUUGGGAUGUACUAUUUGAGAUAUUUUGUGGAUUUUGAUUGAGUAAUUCAUAUUUUGUGAUUUUAAUGAAGUUUUA